GAUGAACGCUGGCGGCGUGCCUAAUACAUGCAAGUCGAGCGAACAGACGAGGAGCUUGCUCCUCUGACGUUAGCGGCGGACGGGUGAGUAACACGUGGAUAACCUACCUAUAAGACUGGGAUAACUUCGGGAAACCGGAGCUAAUACCGGAUAAUAUAUUGAACCGCAUGGUUCAAUAGUGAAAGACGGUUUUGCUGUCACUUAUAGAUGGAUCCGCGCCGCAUUAGCUAGUUGGUAAGGUAACGGCUUACCAAGGCGACGAUGCGUAGCCGACCUGAGAGGGUGAUCGGCCACACUGGAACUGAGACACGGUCCAGACUCCUACGGGAGGCAGCAGUAGGGAAUCUUCCGCAAGGGGCGAAAGCCUGACGGAGCAACGCCGCGUGAGUGAUGAAGUUCUUCGGAUCGUAAAACUCUGUUAUUAGGGAAGAACAAAUGUGUAAGUAACUAUGCACGUCUUGACGGUACCUAAUCAGAAAGCCACGGCUAACUACG
rnacentral:rRNA from 1 species